CAAAGUACUGAACACUAAAGUUUGAAAUAAUUUUUAGGAUAUAAAUCCAGCUCAUCAGAAAUCCAGACAUACUGACCUUGGGAUUUUCAACAACUCACUUCAGCAGAACCCUGACAAUGAUGCUGGUAUUCAUCCUCCUCCUGGCUCCACUGUUGACCAGCUGCGUUAAAAUCAUCCUACCAGCCGACUGCAGUGACAUCCAUCAACAAGACAAGGAACAACCCAGUGGAGUGUACACCAUCUAUCCCAUCGGAUCCACAUCUGCUGUCCAGGUGUACUGUGACAUGGAGUCAGAAGGAGGACGGUGGACGGUGAGUUCUCACUGAAGUCAACUUAAACUCAGAGCCAAGUGCUUUAAUGUUUUAACAUCUGUUUGCAUUGCAAUCUGAAUGUUCUCAGGAUGUUCUUUGAGGUUCUCUCCAAUCCGUGUAUAUUCCAUAUGCACAGGGAAUGAUACUCCAUUGUCAGGGUACUUGAAGUACGAGCAAACGUCCGGCAGACACAGUGGCUUGCAAGGGUUGUUAAAGUCAGACUGCAAACUGCAUUAGAUCAGACCGUACUGUGUUUAAACAAUAACUACUAACUAACACUAAAAUGCCAUAAACCUGAACUGUGUGGUGAUUCUCUUCACUCAAAUAAAGCUGCUUUCAUGGACUCAAGGGUUGCAUUUCUACAAGCUAGCAUUAUGUUAAUUAGCUAGCUAACCUUAGCUACCAUGUGCUCACAUAUUGCUAGGCCACAUGAAGGAAAUCAAAGCGCAGAUACAAAACAGAUUCCUUACAUGGGAGCAGUGUGAGGGCUGUGAUCAGAACAAAUGGAAAGUAUGAAGGAAAGUUGCUGCACAGGGUUUUCCCCAAGAGGGAAGUAAAACUCAUUCCUUCUUUUUGAUCAGUGAUAACGUAGUGUUGAGACGUGCAGAACAACAAAACAUUUCCUGUUUUAAACAGUAAUCUGAUAUAAAAGUCUACGUCACCUACUCCUUUAGUAUUUAAGGUUUGACCAGUUUAGGCAAACGUUAAUACGACGGAGACAGACUGAAGGAGACGCAGCAGUUUGUCUCUGUUCUCUGAAGGUGAAGCCUCCUUAGUUCAAACUGCAGGUGAGUUCAGACA